AUGCACGCUGGCGGCGUGCCUAAUACAUGCAAGUCGAGCGAACAGACGAGGAGCUUGCUCCUCUGACGUUAGCGGCGGACGGGUGAGUAACACGUGGAUAACCUACCUAUAAGACUGGGAUAACUUCGGGAAACCGGAGCUAAUACCGGAUAAUAUAUUGAACCGCAUGGUUCCAUAGUGAAAGACGGUUUUGCUGUCACUUAUAGAUGGAUCCGCGCCGCAUUAGCUAGUUGGUAAGGUAACGGCUUACCAAGGCAACGAUGCGUAGCCGACCUGAGAGGGUGAUCGGCCACACUGGAACUGAGACACGGUCCAGACUCCUACGGGAGGCAGCAGUAGGGAAUCUUCCGCAAUGGGCGAAAGCUUGACGGAGCAACGCCGCGUGAGUGAUGAAGGUCUUCGGAUCGUAAAACUCUGUUAUUAGGGAAGAACAAAUGUGUAAGUAACUAUGCACGUCUUGACGGUACCUAAUCAGAAAGCCACGGCUAACUACGUG
rnacentral:rRNA from 1 species